CUACGACAUCACUAAACCCAUUGUCUCUGAGAACAUUGAAAACGUUGAUGUUGUGCCAGAGUGGUGAAAAAUUAAGAAUUCCCAGGAACUCCACAAUUAUGGCUGUUGAUGUGACUGAAAAUUCCAUUCUCUAAAUUUCUCCCAUCUACCAUGUAAAACCAUCCUAUCCAAAGGCUUCGAC